GAGCAAACAGGAUUAGAUACCUGGUAGUCCACGCUGUAAACGAUGUCGAUUUGGAGUUUGGGGGCAUGACCCUUGGGCUCCGGAGCUAACGCGUUAAAUCGACCGCUGGGGAGUACGGCCGCAAGGUUAAAACUCAAAUGAAUUGACGGGGGCCCGCACAAGCGGUGGAGCAUGUGGUUUAAUUCGAUGCAACGCGAAGAACCUUACCUGGUCUUGACAUCCAUAGAAUCUUUCAGAGAUGAGAGAGUGCCUUCGGGAGCUAUGAGACAGGUGCUGCAUGGCUGUCGUCAGCUCGUGUUGUGAAAUGUUGGGUUAAGUCCCGCAACGAGCGCAACCCCUAUCCUUUGUUGCCAGCACGUAAUGGUGGGAACUCAAAGGAGACUGCCGUUGAUAAAGCGGAGGAAGGUGGGGACGACGUCAAGUCAUCAUGGCCCUUACGACCAGGGCUACACACGUGCUACAAUGGCGUAUACAAAGGGAUGCGAAGGUGCGAACUGGAGCGGACCUCACAAAGUACGUCUAAGUCCGGAUUGGAGUCUGCAACUCGACUCCAUGAAGUCGGAAUCGCUAGUAAUCGUGAAUCAGAAUGUCACGGUGAAUACGUUCCCGGGCCUUGUACACACCGCCCGUCACACCAUGGGAGUGGGUUGCACCAGAAGUAGAUAGCUUAACCUUCGGGAGGGCGUUUACCACGGUGUGGUUCAUGACUGGGGUGAAGUCGUAACAAGGUAACCA
rnacentral:rRNA from 1 species